GCAACACAGACAGAGAAGUUCUUUUAAAACCUUGACAUAUCAACUUUUUCAACACAGCUACCAGAUCCGUGUUAUAAAGUGGAGCUGUAAAAGGGUCUAUGGAUGUCGCCCCUUUAAGAAAAUUGGGAAAUCUAUUGGACUACUUCCUGACUGUGUGUAAAAUCACUGCAGGUGCUGGUUGAUCUGAGGGGUGCAUGGUAAAGGAGGAGCUUAGAGGUCUGGGGGUGGAGCUUAAAGCGAAUUAAGUUUUGGGGCGGAGUCAGUCUUGAUGGAAUGCAGGAUUGAUGGAGCCGAUUAGAUGUGCUGCCUGUCCUUCACUGCGUCGACGGGGUCGAGUGAGCAGCCGCUGAAGUAAUCGAGGUGAACCAGG